GGUGGUGGUAUUACAUAUGUAGAAGAUUCCACUUUGACAUUGUUUUGGUAACAAUUUUUAUUUGUUUCUUACCCUUUUAAAGUGUUCUGCUUCAUCUGAGCACCCCAGGAAUCCUCCACCGAUAUCGAGCAGCUCGAAACAGAAGCCGAGCUCUUCUGCCAUGUCAAAGGCUUUUGCUGCCAUUGUGAUUGCGGCUGAGUAGGCCUCAGGCUCCAUCACACCGGUUCCGACGUUGAAGCUGUAAAACAAAAGUGUCUGGGCCCACACUUGAUCACCUCUCUCCUAAGGACCGCUCACCUGAUGCCGAUGACGUCGAGUUGUAGUUGCUGUGCCUUCAGAAGCAGGUGUGGAACAUCCUCAAGAUAUUGUAUGUUUACUUGUGUGCAGUACGAAGUGUGUGAAAGUGUGGUCGCAUUUUCAGUGAAGCCACUUCUGUUUAGUAUCGAUGCACAUUUGAGGAGGUUAGUGAGGUCACGUGGUGUCUACUACUAACCGAGAUCGUGGGAAAGCUUCUUGGAUUUUCUGCAGCUCAGCCUCGUUGUCAAAAGUCAUCAUCUCCACACCUUUAGAGUUAGCGAAAUGGAUGAAGGAGGUUUGUUUGCAUGGAUUGGCAAACACGAUACGGGAAGGUUCAACACCCAUCGCAACUCUGCACACGGAAGACGGAGUAACACUGAAAGAAAGUGAACUCUGUGCACCAAAUGCCUCACCUAACGACGAAGGUAAGCCCCAUCAGUCGAGGGCACAGUGACCAGCUAACAAGCAGGAAGUAGAAGGGAAGAGUUUCAGGACACGGGGAGGGUGGCUUUGGUGGACGGGACGGGACUGGUUGGGGUGAGUACCUAGGAUGAAUACCAACCUCAUCUUUCUCUCUUCUGUACUGAGUGGGAAGAAGUUCCUCAGUUAUAUUGUCUUUUUGGCUUGUAUUGAUACAAGUGGUAAAGAGUGGCUGAGUUAGUGACUGUAAAGCUUACCAAAACAUUCCAUUGGGCGAGGGGAUCCGUUAAAGUUGUAUAUAAUAAUCUUUAGUAUUAAUCAUGUCACAAUCACGCCUGGUGACGUCUGUAGACGAGAAGGCGACGGGGAAAAAAAUCUGACUAAGCCUCUGCUAUAGGUGUGAAAGGAAGAAUGCUACACGUGAUGCACAUUCACCUAAGUUAUAAUGUUCCUUCGUCACCAAAAAUCGUUCUUUACGGAUCGACUGGCAUUGUCUGUGGACUUGUCGAAUGACUGCUAAUUGUUUUGACUGCAUGUGCGCUAACGAAUGCAAAUCUGCUGAGUCCUGAGAAAGGCCACGACAAACAUGACUAGUGAUAAUAUGUAAGCCUAUGUUUAUUAUGCAACUUUACUGUUUAAAUUGUGGAAUGCUGGUCAGUAAAAUGACUGAACACAAGUGAACAAGGAGAUUAUGAUCACAUUUACUCUGAUAAUACAAACCUGACCCUAAGGGUUAUUUCUAUCUGCAAUUUCAACUCAUAUAUAAAAGCACACACUAAAUAUGUUUUAUCUGAGUUGUAUAUCUAUGCUGUCGCUAAGGUAAAGAAUUCAACGGGAUUAACAGGGUUACUAGACGGGAAACAUUUAAGCGCAAUUGCUUUUUCUUACUUGGGUGAGUGUAAUAUAGGACAGGCUACAGAGGGGAUAAAUUAGGACCAAUGUCUACAACCGUUUUCAGAAAAUUGUGUCAAGGAGACACUUUCCACCAGUCUGCCAACAAAAAAAAAAAAAAUAAAAAAAAAAUAAAUAAAUAAAAUAAAAGUACAAAUAGCAAGCGCUGAAUAAUGACGAGGAAAAAAAAGGUCAUGUCACGAUCUUUUUGCUGUUCUUUUGUGUCAAGUUAACCUCACAUUUAAAAUGAGGUCAGGCUAAUUAGAGGCUGUGAGGUUCGCUGAAGCAUAACUUCAAGGUUCCUAAAACUUGUUUUUGUUAUCAUUCUAAAACUCUGCAAGGGUUAGAAUUUCUGAACAGGAGUUGGAUGAACGAGAGGUUGUGUCUGUUUAAAAAAACACUUUCUCCUGUCUGUGCGGGUGGAUUAAAACUUUUUGUGAGACAUUGAUUAUAGCUUGAGUUUUCAAUUUUUUCCUUAAAUCUUCAAUACAAUUGUAAUAAAAAUGGCUCUAAGCCAAAACAACUGGUGAGGGCUCUACUAUAAAUUCUCAUGUAAUCACUUUUGUAGAAAGCGGCUGAACUGUGUUGUUCUGUGGCGGUGGUACGUUUGUGUUUUCUGUGCUCUUUUGCUUUUAACAAAGACAAAUGGUCAUUAAAAUGACAACCGAAGUAAAGAAAAAAAAGAAAACUAGCACCGACGAAAGUACGUUUAGCACCUCCAAACACAUACAAACACACACAAACUGUAGAAUUCGAAAUGACAGCAGGACAACAAUGCGAGUGAAAACGUAAAUAACAAUAGAAGUGGCUUCUAUAGCCUCGUAUAUCGACCCUAAGCUUAAAGCGCUUCACAAAAUAAUAAACAAAAUUCUUUGCAGCACAUUCUACAGAAGUUGUCAUAUAAUAAUAAUACUGAAAGAGAGAAUUCUAGCAGUAAGAUUCUCAGGAUAGUUUACAAUCACUAAGAUAUAGCCAGAUUCUAUUCAGGAAUUUCGGACGGGAGUACUGGAGACAAAAAUCAUAGACUGUUCACUAGCUGUAUACACAAGGUUUGUGUGACAAGAGCUCUAUACACAAGAUAUAUGUGA
rnacentral:lncRNA from 1 species